rnacentral:rRNA from 1 species
GAUGAACGCUAGCUACAGGCUUAACACAUGCAAGUCGAGGGGCAGCAUGAAUCAAGCUUGCUUGAUUUGAUGGCGACCGGCGCACGGGUGCGUAACGCGUAUCCAACCUUCCCGUUACUCCGGGAUAGCCUUCCGAAAGGGAGAUUAAUACCGGAUGGUGUUUCAAGUUCGCAUGUAAUUGAAACUAAAGAUUUAUCGGUAACGGAUGGGAUGCGUGACAUUAGAUAGUAGGCGGGUAACGGCCCACCUAGUCUACGAUGUCUAGGGGUUCUGAGAGGAAGAUCCCCCCANACUGGAACUGAGAUACGGUCCAGACUCCUACGGGAGGCAGCAGUGGGGAAUAUUGGGCAAUGGGCGCAAGGCCUUGACCCAGCAACGCCGCGUGAAGGAGAAGGUCUUCGGAUUGUAAACUUCUUUUGUUAAGGAAGAACUAUGACUGUACUUAACGAAUAAGCCACGGCUAACUACGUG